rnacentral:rRNA from 1 species
UGAGGAAUAUUGGGCAAUGCCCGCAAGGGUGACCCAGCAACGCCGCGUGAAGGAUGAAGGUCCUCUGGAUUGUAAACUUCUUUUAUCUGGGACGAAAACGGGAUUUUUAUCUCAAUUGACGGUACCAGAGGAAUAAGCACCGGCUAACUCCGUGCCAGCAGCCGCGGUAAUACGGAGGGUGCGAGCGUUAUCCGGAUUUACUGGGUUUAAAGGGUGCGUAGGUGGGCUUAUAAGUCAGUGGUGAAAUCUCCGAGCUUAACUUGGAAACUGCCGUUGAUACUAUAGGUCUUGAAUUAUCUGGAGGUAAGCGGAAUAUGUGAUGUAGCGGUGAAAUGCUUAGAUAUGACAUAGAACACCAAUUGCGAAGGCAGCUUACUACAUAUAAAUUGACGCUGAGGCACGAAAGCGUGGGGAUCAAACA